UCUACCCUAGGGUGGGGGAAUAACUCCUCGAAAGGGGAGCUAAUGCCGACAUGUGCGCCACUCUCGCAAGGGAGUGAUGGAAAGCCGUACCGUGGGUGCGGCGCCCAAGGAUGAGCUCACGUCCUAUCAGCUUGUUGGCGGGGUAACGGCCCACCAAGGCUGCGACGGGUAGCUGGUCUGAGAGGACGACCAGCCACACUGGCACUGCGACACGGGCCAG
rnacentral:rRNA from 1 species